UGCCACCAAGCCAUUUGUCUGUGAUUUUAUCAGGUUUUGGGGGAAAUAAGUUAAAUUCACAAGACGCCGUUCAUCUGGCUGUUGUUCAGAGGCAUCGGCUCUCGUCGUGGCAGAUAUCCAGAGAUGAGAGGAAUCCACGGCCCUGUGAAAGCAACGCAGAGUUAAUGACUCACGAACUGCUGAUUCAAGGCAGACGGUGUCAUUGAUGGUCCUGUCCUUCACCGCAGAGGAACUCGUCACAUGUCUCACCGCUUCAAGAUCUGAAUCUGAAAUCUCGAGAAAUGAAGACUCAGAAGACUGCUGUUAUAUUGCACAUUGUGCUGCCGUAUCUUUUCAAAGCUAACAGAAUAAGUGGCUGAUGGCGCUGGAUAGUCAUCCAAGAAUAAAAAAAAAUAAAUAAAAAAAACAGUCAAGGUUAACUAUUUUGUAACAGCUGCUGGUGGCAGAAGCAGGUACAGAAAAACAUUUCCUGAGCAACACGUGUCUCGGAUUAAGAACAAAAACAUUAUUUUAAUCAAGAAAAUAGUCAUUUCCUGUCAGCCUUUCACAAUAAAAGCAGGCCCUUACGUUGCCAUUUGAAUGAUAUUGAUAUGAAGAGGAGCCGGUAACUUAAUUCAAUGUGCUCAGGGGAACGGAGCAGUAAACAGUGAGGCUGUCAACAACGUGACAUAAGACACUGGAUUACAUUCAUACAUCGAUUCCAGGGGCAAUUUAAAUCCUGCACAUGGAUGAAC